UACAGAGGGUGCGAGCGUUGUCCUGAAUCACUGGGCGUAAAGGGCGCGUAGGUGGCGACCCAAGUCGAUGGUGAAAGCUCGCCGCUCAACGGCGAGUCGGCCACCGAUACUGGGUUGCUGGAGCACUGUAGAGGCUCAUGGAAUUCCGGGUGUAGCGGUGGAAUGCGUAGAGAUCCGGAAGAACACCGGUGGCGAAGGCGGUGAGCUGGGCAGUUGCUGACACUGAGGCGCGACAGCGUGGGGAGCAAACAGG
rnacentral:rRNA from 1 species